rnacentral:lncRNA from 1 species
UCCUCGGCGCCUUGCCGCCGGUGGACUUCCUCGCCGUCUGCUUGGUGCGGGCCAUGUCGCCGGUGCGCGGGGAGGUCGACUAGGGAGGAGGAGGUCGCUGUGCUCGGGGGGUUGAGGGAUUUGGUUGUGAGGAGGAAGGAGUCGACGGGGCGGCGUUAAAUAGGAGGCGAGCGCCGAGCGGGCGGGGGAUUGGAGUGGGGUGGGCGCGUCAGCUUUGGUUUUUCGGGAGGGAAGAUGAGCCUGGAGCGUUGGAUGUGUAUUCGUGGAUGGUCGAGAUCUGCUGUCGAGGGAGUGAUCCGUGGGGUGGUGGUUCCCGUCCUGUGAUUGGUCGGAUACGAAUGACGCGGAUCGUGCGUUCCUGCUGGUGCUACUGAUUUGCACGGGAGCUCAACACAAUACUGUACCAGAUAAUCGUUGGUCGUUCUCAAUGACCCCCUGAUUUCCUAAUGAUAUUGUAAAAUUUGUGAGCUAAAUAAAGAAAACUCUUCUAAUAAACUGGUCGAUCAGGUCCCUUUAAAAAAAUGGUGGAUCACCUUGUAUCGUCCGUCGCUAUUCAUGCAUGACGCGUGCCCUUUGUGAAUUUAAAUUUCUGCAAUAAGUUUUUUGUUGCAAAAAUUUCUGUAAACAAGACCCCGAUUGCAUAAGAAUUUUGUAAUCGGUCUUUUAAAUUUCUGCAAAAGACCUCUUUUGCACACAAAAUAUCUAAAAAAAUCUAUUAUAAAAAAAUGCAACAAGAUCUAUGUUGCGAAAAAAUGCAGCAAGUCAUGUGUUGCAAAAAAAACAUAUGCUCGGACUAUUGCCACAAGCUAAAUAUUGAAGAGAGCCUUCUACAACAUUACUCUUGUUGCAAAAGAUUGGUUGCUUACGUUGAAAUGUUGGAUGUCUUUGGCGUGUCCAUCCAAUGAUCAACGAGACGGCGAAUCUUUACUUAUUAUCCGCCACGUAUAGCGUCGCCCGCUAAAUAAAGGUUAUUUUUCAUGUUAAAAAAAGUUGCACCUAAGCUUAAUAGGUCUAAAACAGAGCAGUUGUUACGAGAGUACACGUUCAUACAAGAGUUCCACGUGUGUCGUGGGGUUGAUCAUCCGGUGUCGUGGGGACACGGUCCUCUGUUUGGGUUAGAGCAUCUACAACCACCUAUGGUAAAAAUGACCCCUAAAACUCCCUCGGACGCGCCCGGGCGCGUCCGCGGGGAAUGACCGUACACGUCUCAAAUAAACACGACUGCAUCCAGACAUCUCAUACUAUAUUCUCAAAUGCGUACAAAAGCAUGCAAACUAAAGAACCUACAUACUUUGUGCCCUCCCGUGGAUACAUGGACAGCGGUCACAGCUCCGCCCCCUCUGGCACCUCCGGUUGCUUCAUUGCGGCCUCCUCCACCACUAUCUCUGCAUCGAGCUCGUCGAAGAGGCUGUAGGUCUCCUCCUGCCUCUGUCGGAUGAGUCUGGGUUGGCCUCCACCUCGGUCUCAUCCCGGAUGGAGUCAUUGAUGACCUGUUGUUGUGCAUCUCAUCACGGAUGGAAUCAUGGAUGGUUUCAGAACUAAAUUGAUGAUCAAAUAUCAAUCAAUCAGAGAGAAGACACAGAGCGGUAGGUGGGAAAUCACACCCACCUACAUGGAACUCUGUGGAAGCAGCUCGCUGCGUCGGCAAGCUAUUGUUGUCGAGCCAGUUGUCCAACUCCGAGAAGCCGUCAUCAUCACCUCUUGUCCCUCCGUCGCCGCCUACUGUAUCACCCUCACCGCUCACUUUACCAGCCGCCGCCAUGGCUCGAGGGAGAAUGGGGGAGAGGGAGAGAAUCGGGAGGGGCAGAGGGAAGGGGUCGUUUAUGACCUAGCAGCAUAGCUAACGGUCGUCACUAGCUCACCGUUACACUAGUCCAACGUGGCACCCGACAGGUGGGUCCAUUCUGUCAGAAAUCGUGUUAAACGGCUCAAAAUCGGUCAAUUGUGUUUAUUGAAAAAAAUUACCGCGAAAGUGGUGGAUUUAUGGGACCAGCAAGGAAUGUGGUGGCAAUUCUUCUCAACGCCUGCGAAUGUGGUGGUUUUUUGUAAUUCACUCCCUGAAGUUGGUCGGGUGGGGUUUUUUGUAAUUCACUCCCUGAAGUUGGUCGGGUGGGCUUGUGACAAAGCUGUGGGCAUCAAAUAGAGAACACUGCAAUCUGUCUAUUGAGCAUAAUCUAUUAAAAUAUUGGUUUAUUCUCUAAUGAGCAGACCUCUUUUAUGUAGCACAAGUAUAUACUUCAAAGCCAAACGACAAGAAUGAUCGCUAAUUUGCUGUCAAUACCAGUACCGAUCUAACUUGGUAUGCUUGUUCCGUUGCCGUUCUGCCGGAGUGAUGUUGAAUUCUGUAGCAUGUCUUCUCAGGAAAGAUUAGUAUUCAUUUGUCCGAGCUGCUUUGGAUAUCUGAAUAUAAUUCAUAUAACAGAUCCAGUAGAUCAUUGCAGCUAUUGAUCAAUUCAACUGAAGGAUGAAGUUGCUGUCACUGCAAAAGAGGGUAUCGUGUAUCUGUAUUGACAAUUCCACAGUUGGAAGCACAGUUAAAGCAAAUAAGAAGGUUAUUGUAACUACAAAUUAACAGAAAAGCAAAAAAAAAAAAGAUGAUCCUAAUUAACUUAUAGUAGCAGUUAACAUGAACCACAUAGCAGUUAUCCCUUACAAGUCAGACAGCAAAUGUGUACACUAUAGUGACUCAAUCUAGAACUCGACGUAUGAAAUGCAGACCAAUCCCGGUAUCCACUACACAUUGCAGCAGAGAAGCAACACAAAUGGUGUCCAGUAUAAAUGCAUCAGAUCCAAUAGCAAAAACAAAGCAAAUGCGUGUUUAAUUAACUUAUAGAAGAAGCAACACAAGUACUACUACGAUUCAUCCGAGGCUCCUAGUAAAUUAUGGUAAAUCAACUCAGAGACCGACCAGCUAAACAAAAUCAGGGACACGGAUUGCACAGAGACAAGUUUCAUUUCAAACACGAUAUGCAUAUAACUUUGCUCCACGAUUCAGUUCAAACUACAGAGGAAACAGCGAACUAGACAAGUCGAGGUUCCAUCAGACUUGUGGAAUCUGCAGGGGGCGACCAGGAGGCAUUCACCAAACACUGAAGCCAACACAAAUAGGAUUUGGUUUGAGUCUACUCCAAAACGCUGACGCCAACAGAAUCGGAUUUGGGGGCAAAAAUUCAGAAGCGAGACAUUGCGCUACUGAAGAACACUGUUAAUAUCUGACCAGUCGCACGAACAAACAUCGACAGACAACACGGACCACACAAGAAUUCAAGGGUAAACAAACAGCUUCAAUUUCCAUUCCAUCGUAGCACAUCCAGACGACAAACGAAACCAAGGCCAGGGCAAAGAGCAGCGAGAUGCGGCGAUUACAACCCAGGACCGGCCACGAACACUACUACCACUGUGUGCCAAACAAAGCUAGCUGAUGGCCUAGCCGCCGAAUCCGUAGAGGGUGCGGCCCUGGCGCUUGAGUGCGUAGACGACGUCCAUGGCGGUGACGGUCUUGCGGCGGGCGUGCUCGGUGUAGGUGACGGCGUCGCGGAUGACGUUCUCGAGGAAGAUCUUGAGCACGCCGCGGGUCUCCUCGUAGAUGAGCCCCGAGAUGCGCUUCACGCCGCCACGGCGCGCCAGACGCCGGAUCGCCGGCUUGGUGAUGCCCUGGAUGUUGUCGCGCAGCACCUUCCUGUGGCGCUUGGCGCCGCCCUUGCCGAGCCCCUUGCCUCCCUUGCCGCGCCCGGACAUGGCUGACGAUCUCGAGCUGCGAGCGAGCGAGCGGAUGUGGAAUGUGAGGAACGGUGGUGGUGACUGGUGCUGUGAUUUGGGGAGAGGGGCGAAGGGCGUUUUAAAGGGGACGAGAGGUUGAGGAGGCAUCUGCCUGCCGUUCGAUGCGGAUGGAGUGGACGGUCGAGACGGCGAUCCGGGGGACAGAUGCCGCGGAUCGGUGACCUGGCCGAAAGCUUGGCCGGUGGAUUGGCGGCCUGGGUCAGAGCUGUGGCGGGAGCUCGAAAAUUUUGGGCUGUAGGCGUGGGCUGGGAGACGCGUUCUCGAGAUUUGGGGGGCCUGAAACCUGGACCGGUGGAUUCUCUUCAGUUUUUCUGCAGGGAACAAACUUCUUUUCCAUGAGUUAUACUAUUUCAAAUUCAGAAAACAAGAUAAGUCACUAAUUCACUGUGAAUAGCAAUUUAACUUGAUAUACUUACUGCAUUGUUGUGGCAUGUCCUCCAAUGACAGAUUAUUAUUUCUUCAUCCGAACUGUUUUGGAGAUCUGAAGAUAAUCUACGAGAAACUUGCUCGAAUGCAGUGCAUCACUGCUAUUCUUUUUUUUCUUCUAGAAUAUGCGCAGGCAUGUGUGUCAUAUAUUCAUAGAAGAGAUGGUGGAGAAAUCCAUCCACAGUCGUACAUUAGAAGCUUAAUGACCAUAGUUAUGGAUUGCUCUCCGAUAUUCUACUUGCAUUCUGAGUCACACUACAUAGAAUUUUUUUCCCCAAUCAUAGAACAUAUAUUGUGCAUCAGUAAAUAAUAUUAAAAAAAAUGUACAGUUCAUAAACAUAAUACUUCCAUUUUCUCCAUCCUCACCGCUCCAAAAUAAGUGUCAUCGUUUUUGUUUCAAAUUAGAUUGACAUGUUUUAAAUAAGAGUAGCAUCACCCACAAAAAAAAAAAAAAAGAGGGAGACAAGAUCGGAACAUAUAUGCAGCAUUUCCUGAACCUGUAAGAUCGGAAGACAAGACACCAAGUACUCCCUCCGUCCAAGUAUAUAGGGUAUGCGCGUAGUUCUAGGUCGUUAAUUUAACUAUUUAAAUAUGUAUUAUUUAUAAUAAAUAAUAUACCAUUAAAUUCAUACGGGAAUGUAGUUUCUGAAUAUGUAAUUUUUAUCGCAUAUAAUAUAUAUUUAACUAGUUAAACUGAUAACCUAGAACUACGUGCAUGCCUUAUACACUUGGACGAAGGUAGUAACUUGUAUUGUCGGUAUAUUUGUAGUUCAGAGCAUGGUUCAGACUUGCGGGAUUGCAAUAUAAUUAGGCAAAGUAGAGAUGCUUUCAACAGAACAUUUGCCAUGAACAUCAAACAUACCGGAACUGCCAUCAAGCAAUUUUCAGGUACCAUCUAAACUGCUCGUUCGUUCAAGUUCAGAGGCAGCUAGCCAAAUUACUCGCUACAAAAUUGACAAUCCAAUGAUAAUUCAAGCAAAAGAUCGCAGCAAAGUAGAACAUGCUAGCUAACAGGCAAGAAAUUUGACAACUUAGAAACGGCAAUUCAAACGCGGAUGCAUGAGAACAGGAAGGCAACAUUUUCAUUUCCAUUGCUGAUGGCAACAAGAAGGUGCCAUCAGAUUAGGCACAACACACCCACCAUGACAAGAACAACACAGACACAUUCUGAAACACUUGCAGCACACACAUUUCCACCGAUGCCUAACAGGGAUCUAAGAGACGACGCAUGGAUCUCAGACUGCAGCCUAGGCCCUCUCUCCACGGAUGCGGCGAGCGAGCUGGAUGUCCUUGGGCAUGAUGGUGACGCGCUUGGCGUGGAUGGCGCAGAGGUUGGUGUCCUCGAACAGCCCGACGAGGUAGGACUCGNCUUGCGGGCGGCCUUGGUCGCCAGCUGCUUCCUCGGCGCCUUGCCGCCGGUGGACUUCCUCGCCGUCUGCUUGGUGCGGGCCAUGUCGCCGGUGCGAGGGGAGGUUGAGGAGCGCUUGGAGGUUUGGGAGAUUGGAUUGAAGUGAGGAAGAAGGGGACGGGGCCGGCGUUAAAUAGGGAAGGAGGGGAGCGGCACGCCUCCGCAGGCGGGGGGGGUGGAGCGGGGAGCGCGCGUGAUUUUCGU